GACAGAGGGUGCAAACGUUGUUCGGAAUUACUGGGCGUAAAGCGCGUGUAGGCGGCUUUGUAAGUCGGAUGUGAAAUCCCGUGGCUCAACCAUGGAAGUGCACCCGAAACUGCAAGGCUAGAGUAUCGGAGAGGAAGGUGGAAUGCUUGGUGUAGAGGUGAAAUUCGUAGAUAUCAAGCGGAACACCGGUGGCGAAGGCGGCCUUCUGGACGAUUACUGACGCUGAGACGCGAAAGCGUGGGUAGCAAACAGG
rnacentral:rRNA from 1 species